rnacentral:tRNA from 1 species
GGGGUAGGAAACCUACUCAUGACUUCUAAUCAAAGAGUAAAGCAAUUUGUGAAGCUUCUAUCCCU